rnacentral:rRNA from 1 species
GAUGAACGCUGGCGGCGUGCCUAAUACAUGCAAGUCGAGCGAACGGACGAGAAGCUUGCUUCUCUGAUGUUAGCGGCGGACGGGUGAGUAACACGUGGAUAACCUACCUAUAAGACUGGGAUAACUUCGGGAAACCGGAGCUAAUACCGGAUAAUAUUUUGAACCGCAUGGUUCAACAGUGAAAGACGUUCUUGCUGUCACUUAUAGAUGGAUCCGCGCUGCAUUAGCUAGUUGGUAAGGUAACGGCUUACCAAGGCAACGAUGCAUAGCCGACCUGAGAGGGUGAUCAGCCACACUGGAACUGAGACACGGUCCAGACUCCUACGGGAGGCAGCAGUAGGGAAUCUUCCGCAAUGGGCGAAAGCCUGACGGAGCAACGCCGCGUGAGUGAUGAAGGUCUUCGGAUCGUAAAACUCUGUUAUUAGGGAAGAACAUAUGUGUAAGUAACUGUGCACAUCUUGACGGUACCUAAUCAGAAAGCCACGGCUAACUACGUG